CGUUACCAGGCUUCCUUCAUCCUCUGCUGCUGCCUUCACGGACCAUCGGGAAUAACGCAACUCGACGCACGCUUGUGGAAACCAACAAUAGAUGGGAACUUUAUGAAGCAGCCAAGCGUAUAAAUUCCUCAAAGCACCAGGGGGUACAAUGGACGGCUGAGAAAUGAACACCACACACCAAUUUACCCCUCAAGAGGCCUACUCACCCUCACAAAUAUGUGGCAUGUCACCUCCAUCGCUGUCAACACAGAUGGUGGUUGAACGCGGCUCAGCAGUGAACACAGUGAUGGAAGUGGGAAUGUGAGGAAUGUGGAGAGAAGAAUUUGAGGAGUGCUUGGAGCUCUGCCCACUUUAAUACCUGUGCACACCUGGCAGCUGUUGGAUUGUCAAGUUUGGAAGGUAAAAAAGUGAUUCAGUCAUCAGGGCAGAGCCGUUUGUCUUCCUCGUUAAAGAGACUGAUACAACAUCACCCUCACUCAGAUAAGCCCACUUGUUUCUCACUCUACACCUCAGGUGAGACAUCUUUAUCAUGCAAUCAGAACAGGGGUCACCAGAUAAGUAACCUUAAGCUUCCUGUGUUUCACUCUGGGUAUAAACGUCACCCUUGUUAAUCUCUGGAUGUUGUUGGUAGAGACACUUCACUGUUAAACUGUAGAAUCUACAUUACAUAAAUAUCAAAUAAAGUUACC